UACGUAGGGGGCUAGCGUUGUCCGGAAUCAUUGGGCGUAAAGCGCGUGUAGGCGGUCCGGUAAGUCCGCUGUGAAAGUCGGGGGCUCAACCCUCGAAUGCCGGUGGAUACUGUCGGGCUAGAGUGCGGAAGAGGCGAGUGGAAUUCCGGGUGUAGUGGUGAAAUGCGUAGAGAUCCGGAGGAACACCGGUGGCGAAGGCGGGUCUCUGGGCCGAUACUGACGCUGAGGAGCGAAAGCGUGGGGAGCAAACAGG
rnacentral:rRNA from 1 species